GACGAACGCUGGCGGCGUGCUUAACACAUGCAAGUCGAACGGUGAAGCGCCUUCCUUUUUGGUGGGUGUGGAUGAGUGGCGAACGGGUGAGUAACACGUGAGUAACCUGCCCCCUUCUUCUGGAUAACCGCAUGAAAGUGUGGCUAAUACGGGAUAUUCUGGGUCUGUCGCAUGAUGGGUCUGGGAAAGAUAUUGUUUCGGUGGGGGAUGGGCUCGCGGCCUAUCAGCUUGUUGGUGGGGUGAUGGCCUACCAAGGCGGUGACGGGUAGCCGGCCUGAGAGGGUGGACGGUCACACUGGGACUGAGCCACGGCCCAGACUCCGACGGGAGGCAGCAGUGGGGAAUAUUGCACAAUGGGCGCAAGCCUGAUGCAGCGACGCCGCGUGAGGGAUGGAGGCCUGCGGGUUGUGAACCUCUUUCGCCAGUGAAGCAGGCCUGCCUCGUUUGUGGGUGGGUUGACGGUAGCUGGAUAAGAAGCGCCGGCUAACUACGUG
rnacentral:rRNA from 1 species